GUGCUUGCUUCUUCAGCACAUUGGAAAGACACAGAGAUUAACAUGGCCCCUUUGCAAGAAAGACACACACAUUUGUGAAGCAUUCCAUAGUUUU
ensembl:snRNA U6 U6 spliceosomal RNA